UUUUCCUCUAAAUUUAGCCUCUACUAGGCUUUGUCUGUGUCCACAUAACAUGCGGAAUUUUCAAGUGUUCAGACAUAGCCUAAAAGAGGUUAGGUGAAGCAGGAAAG
rfam:Glossina brevipalpis unplaced genomic scaffold Scaffold72, whole genome shotgun sequence.